GUCAGUUGAGUUAAAUUUUGACACCUCAAAAUUACAUCGUACAUUAAUAUGAAAUAAAGUUUCAUCACCGAGAGUCCUACUCCUACAGUCCUACUUAAGAGUCACACAGCCUCACACUAAAAUUUAAACUACUCUCACAUUCGUUCAAUCGCUCGCUGCUCCUGGCCUUUCAUUUCUGCCGCCCGAUUAGGUCAGGAGCAAUUUCAAAGAAUGAGAUCAGAUAUUGGAUGGGAGAAACUCUAGAAUGAAGUCUCUUCAUUUUGUGUAAAAAAUGACAUUGAAGUUCUUGAUAUGACUGCUGAUUAUGAUCCAUCUGGAAGAUUUAAGCGUUUUGUCAAACCGGGCACAAAUCUUGAUUAUUUUCGAGGAAAUAUUUAUGUUAGUGUUAUUGACAAAAGCAUUCAAGAGCUUAACAAUUUGUUCGAUGAGACGAGUAUGGAAUUGCUUUCAUGUAUGGCUUGCUUGAACCCAGCUGAUUGCUUUUCUUCUUUUGACAAGCAAAAAUUGAUCAAACUCGCCAAGUUUUACCCCAGUGAAUUUUCCUCUGUUGAUUUGAUGGGCCUUGAGUAUCAACUUGAAAACUUUAUCUCCGACAUGAGGAGUGAUAAUAGAUUCAGGAAUUUGAAGGACAUCGGGGAGCUUUCAGUGAAACUUGUGGAAACAAGGAAGCACGAUGUGUACUGGGCUGUCUAUUUGCUUGUGAAGUUAAUGUUGAUUCUCGGCAACUCCAAGCAUCGAGAGAACAAUUUCUGGUAUAAACCAUGUAAAGUUUAAGCUGCUGAACAGUGUAGGUAGCCAACAGUUAUAUGAUUCCUUGACCACUUAUGUUGAGAGAGAGGUCUUUUCUGAAGUUCUCGAUGAUGAUAUCAUAAGUUGCUUCAAAAAUAUUAAGGCUAGUCAGGAUUAGCAGCGACUUUCAUUUCCUUAUUUGUAAUUUAUUUGCUUAAGAAAUUAGCUUUAACUUUUAAGUUUGCAUGGCA